rnacentral:rRNA from 1 species
GGUCUUAGCUUGCUAAGACUGAUGGCGACCGGUGCACGGGUGCGUAACGCGUAUGCAACUUGCCUCACAGAGGGGGAUAACCCGUCGAAAGACGGACUAAUACCGCGUACACUCUAUGUUGGGCAUCCAAUGUAGAGGAAAUGAAAUUCGCUGUGGGAUAGGCAUGCGUCCCAUUAGCUAGUUGGUGAGGUAACGGCUCACCAAGGCGACGAUGGGUAGGGGAACUGAGAGGUUGAACCCCCACACUGGUACUGAGACACGGACCAGACUCCUACGGGAGGCAGCAGUGAGGAAUAUUGGUCAAUGGGCGAGAGCCUGAACCAGCCAAGUCGCGUGAAGGAUGACUGUCUUAUGGAUUGUAAACUUCUUUUAUACGGGAAUAACAAGAGCCACGUGUGGCUCCCUGCAUGUACCGUAUGAAUAAGCAUCGGCUAACUCCGUGCCAGCAGCCGCGGUAAUACGGAGGAUGCGAGCGUUAUCCGGAUUUAUUGGGUUUAAAGGGUGCGUAGGCGGCCUGUUAAGUCAGCGGUGAAAUCUAGGAGCUUAACUCCUAAAUUGCCAUUGAUACUGGCGGGCUUGAGUGUAGAUGAGGUAGGCGGAAUGCGUGGUGUAGCGGUGGAAUGCAUAGAUAUCACGCAGAACUCCGAUUGCGAAGGCAGCUUACUAAGGUACAACUGACGCUGAAGCACGAAAGCGUGGGUAUCAAACAGGAUUAGAUACCCUGGUAGUCCACGCAGUAAACGAUGAUAACUGGGCGUAUGCGAUAUACAGUAUGCUCCUAAGCGA